UCUUUUUUUGCAUAAUCCCACCCCCGGGCUGGCCAGUUGCUAUUAAAGGCCCAGUGUUCCCCUGCCCAGUCCAUGGAACGGGCCCAGCAGGCAGUCAUCAACAUGGCCUCCCACACCCACAUCCUUUGGAUCCUCCUUUUCUGGGUGACAGAUGCCCACGGGGCUAUUGUGAUGACCCAGACCCCGGAGUCCCUCUCCGUGUCUCCAGGGGAGAAAGCUAUUAUCCAGUGCAAAGCCAGUCAGGGUAUUAAUAAGGAAAUCAGCUGGUACCAACAGAAACCCGGACAACAGAUCAGGCUCCUUAUCUACGCUUCUUCCACCCUGGCCUCUGGGGUCCCCUCUCGGUUCAGUGGCAGCGGCUCAGGAAGUGACUUCACGCUCACAAUCAGCAGCGUGGAAGGAGAGGAUGCUGCAGACUAUUACUGUAUGCAUGACUAUGCUUUUCCAUUCACGGUGUUACAGACCCAUACAUAA